GCAGUCAAAAAAGGAUGCCACAUGGGCACAAACAUGCCUGAGUCUCAUAUGCUACUCAUACUGCCCAGUUUUCUCAGCUGUGACACCUAGAGUGGAAACAUCUGGAAGAAGAUGCAACUUGUUUAAGAGGUGGAGCAUGCCAAGGCAAGGCUGGCCAAGCUGGGAAGAAAGUGAGGGUAGGGUGCUGAGGCAAUGGUGAGAAGUGCUGCUUGCACACCAAAAAGCCUUACUGCCUGCUGCCUUGUAUGACUAAUUCAGGUUCUCAGACAGAAAUCAGUGCUAUGAACUAACAAUUGCCAUCCCCAUGAGUCUGCUCCAAGCAGAACAACCAGUGUCACAGGGAUAUUCACUUUUACUGGUUUACAAGUAAUUUUCUUUACUGAGAUGUCCAUAUUUGCCUCUAGAAAAGUUAGCAUCUGCCACUUCAGCUAUGUAGAUGAGUGUCCCCACUCAGUCCAGACCACACUGUAAUAAGUGCAAUCAGACACUAUUUUAAUGACACGGUGACCUUUUAGAGAAAUCCAUCUAUAAACACUGAUUGGAUGUCCUACAUAACUGACCCAUGGCGCAGUUGCAUCCACAUGGCUGUGCAGCCCUUUUCCCUGCUCAUAUGCAUCUGCACAUAUUUCUGUGUUCUGAUGAUUGCACACUGGUAAAAAGCUACCUGUUUUGAGGAGCUUGUAAUGCAGAGAAAAAUCAAACAUUUCCAAGGUAAAGACACACAUGAAUUUUGAAAGGCAUCCUGCACCAUAUAGACUUUCCUUCACUGCUGCAAAGUGUCUGUGGAAGAAGGCAAGCCAUUUACCCUGCAUUUACUGCACUCCCAUGCUCCUGUGCAAAUAGAAGAGUUUGCCUUUCCCCUUUCAGCUGUGGUCAGCUAUGCUCUGUUGCAGGAAUUCUUAAGAUCACUAGUGUGGACUCCAAAAGGAGUCAGUCAGUUCCCUCCAAAAGUCACCUUUCUGUGUGUUGAGCCUGUACUAAUGUAUGUAUUUCUCUGCAGGGCUUUUGGCUUACUUCAGUGCUGUUUUCAUGUGAUCUUGCUAUCACUUUGGUUUGCUGGCCGAGUGGGCUUGUUUGUACCUGAAGAGUAUCUUGCAGAGACAGAACUGUAGUGAAAUGCUUUGAUAGCUGGACACAUUUUGGCUGCUAGGCCCAGCCUCUGCUGGUUGCCGUAACACUUUGAGUAGCUGAGUCCUUCCAGCUGGUAGUGAUAGUUUCAGCUGUCACAUUAAACCUGCAGUAACUCCUUUGGGCGCAACAGGUGUAGCUUCAACUGCCAGCAGCUGGACAUAUUUGACUUUCCUCCUCCAGAAGACUGCAUAGUGAGUGAAAAUUGAAAGAACAAUGAGGAAGUCUACUUGUCUCAGUGGAACAAGUGAAAACUCUGGAUUGACACUGUGGGUGAAUGAUGGAGAGCAGGAUCCUGCAUAGAGGACUGGAAUUAAAGAGUGAGCUUUAAAGAGUGAGAAGACUGUGGAGAAGAAUCCCGCAAGACAUCCCAUUAGAACAGAAUCCGUUGGAGAGGAGGGAUGAUCCAGUGGUUGAUGAAAGGUCUAGGCUGAGAGCUGGGAGUUCUACAGCAGCCCAAGGUAGUUCUUGAAAGGUUGGCUGCUUGCCUGUCUGACUGUUUGGGGUGAGGUUGAAGCCCCAGACCUGCCAAGUUCUGUGUGCAGCUCUGUGCUGUUUUGUGAGUUGGGACUUGGAGUUCUGACUUAAUGCCAAGUGCCUGUAUGCAUUGCACCUACUGAAAUAUUUGGGGUAUUGUCAGGCAUUGUAAACUUAUUCUUGGGGUGUGAUCAUGCAGAGCUAUUCUUGCUAGCAUUCCAUACAAAAAUAUCAUUUUAAGAGGUGUUGUGAAAAAGAUCACUAGCUGAAAAUUUAAUUUCCUGCCCAAAUGGAUGAAGCCUGCAAGGUAAAAUAAAUGUAUUUAAAGAAAUCUGCUAUCUAAAUCAGUCUAUUUCAAAAAUAGUUUGCUGUUGUCAAUAAGGCAGAAUCUUGUGAAUCUACACACUUCAUAAUUUGCACAUAAGGUUGGCAGUUUUUUCCCCACUUUUUGGCAAUGAUUUAAUAGCAGAGAGCUGUAGCAAGGGCAUAUUACUAGGAUUAUGUUCUAUUACAAAAUAUACUGCAGCUUAUUUACAGAAGACCUCGUUAAUUUGCAUUAAUAUGAAUGCACCCACUGUAAAU